UCUAGAGUCUCUGGUGAUCCUGCCGGACCCGACUGCUAUCAGAGUGGACUAAGCCAUGCGAGUCAACGUAGCAAUGCGUGGCGAACGGCUCAGUAACACGUAGUCAACAUGCCCAGGGGACGUGGAUAACCUCGGGAAACUGAGAUUAAACCGCGAUAGGUCAAGAUUUCUGGAAUGGAUCGUGUCUUAAAUCUACAUGGCCCCUGGAUUGGACUGCGGCCGAUCAGGCUGUUGGUGAGGUAAUGGCCCACCAAACCUAUAACCGGUACGGGCUCUGAGAGGAGAAGCCCGGAGAUGGGCACUGAGACAAGGGCCCAGGCCCUAUGGGGCGCAGCAGGCGCGAAACCUCUGCAAUGGGCGAAAGCCUGACAGGGUUACUCUGAGUGAUUUCCGCUAAGGAGAUCUUUUGGCAGCUCUAAAAAUGGUGUAGAAUAAGGGGUGGGCAAGUCUGGUGUCAGCCGCCGCGGUAAUACCAGCACCCCGAGUGGUCGGGACGAUUAUUGGGCCUAAAGCAUCCGUAGCCGGUUCUGCAAGUCUUCCGUUAAAUCCAGCCGCUCAACGGAUGGGCUGCGGAAGAUACUAUAGGACUAGGAGGCGGGAGAGGCAAGCGGUACUCAGUGGGUAGGGGUAAAAUCCUUUGAUCCAUUGAAGACCACCAGUGGCGAAGGCGGCUUGCCAGAACGCGCUCGACGGUGAGGGAUGAAAGCUGGGGGAGCAAACCGGAUUAGAUACCCGGGUAGUCCCAGCUGUAAACGAUGCAGACUCGGUGAUGGGCCAGCCUUGUGCUAGCCCAGUGCCGCAGGGAAGCCGUUAAGUCUGCCGCCUGGGGAGUACGGUCGCAAGACUGAAACUUAAAGGAAUUGGCGGGGGAGCACUCACAGGGGUGAAGCCUGCGGUUUCAUUUGAAGUCACGCCCGGGA
rnacentral:rRNA from 1 species